rnacentral:rRNA from 1 species
UACGGAGGGUGCGAACGUUACUCGGAAUCACUGGGCGUAAAGCGCGCGUAGGCGGUUUGUUAAGUGGGAUGUGAAAUCCCCGGGCUUAACCUGGGAAUUGCAUUUCAAACUGGCCGACUAGAGUACGGUAGAGGGAGGUAGAAUUUCCUGUGUAGCGGUGAAAUGCGUAGAUAUGUGGAGGAAUACCGAUGGCGAAGGCAGCCCCCUGGGCCAAUACUGACGCUCAUGCACGAAAGCGUGGGGAGCAAACAGG